CGCGUAGGCGGACUUUUAAGUUGGUGGUGAAAUGCCGAGGCUCAACCUCGGAACUGCCUCCAAAACUGGAAGUCUUGAGGUAUGGAGAGGGAAGUGGAAUUCCAGGUGUAGCGGUGAAAUGCGUAGAUAUCUGGAGGAACACCUGUGGCGAAGGCGGCUUCCUGGUCAUAUCCUGACGCUGAGGUGCGAAAGCUAGGGGAGCGAACGGGAUUAGAUACCCCGGUAGUCCUAGCCGUAAACGAUGGAUACUAGGUGUUAGAGGUAUCGACCCCUCUAGUGCCGAAGCUAACGCAUUAAGUAUCCCGCCUGGGGAGUACGACCGCAAGGUUGAA
rnacentral:rRNA from 1 species